rnacentral:rRNA from 1 species
AGUGGACGCUGGCGGUAGGCCUAACACAUGCAAGUCGAACGGCAGCACAGUAAGAGCUUGCUCUUACGGGUGGCGAGUGGCGGACGGGUGAGGAAUACAUCGGAAUCUACUUUUUCGUGGGGGAUAACGUAGGGAAACUUACGCUAAUACCGCAUACGACCUACGGGUGAAAGCAGGGGAUCUUCGGACCUUGCGCGAUUGAAUGAGCCGAUGUCGGAUUAGCUAGUUGGCGGGGUAAAGGCCCACCAAGGCGACGAUCCGUAGCUGGUCUGAGAGGAUGAUCAGCCACACUGGAACUGAGACACGGUCCAGUCUCCUACGGGAGGCAGCAGUGGGGAAUAUUGGACAAUGGGCGCAAGCCUGAUCCAGCCAUACCGCGUGGGUGAAGAAGGCCUUCGGGUUGUAAAGCCCUUUUGUUGGGAAAGAAAAGCAGCAGGUUAAUACCCCGCUGUUCUGACGGUACCCAAAGAAUAAGCACCGGCUAACUUCGUG